GCUGCUGGAAGCCUUUUUUCCACACUGUUGUACUGAAGUUUUGACCUCCACUAGAGGGCGACAUUAUCAAGUAGGCGGUGCACUACUUCUGCACUGUGUUCAACCAUUGUGUCAAUAAUAACUGCUGCUGUGAAGAGAACAAUUCUCAGACUGAAUGUUGAACAGCAGCUAGUUUCUCCUGUUGAUUUAAACCUUGUUGUAGAGAUGGAACAUUGGCUGUGGAUUAUUCUUGCUGCUCUUUUCUUUGAGUGUAAAGGAGAAGAGAGAGUGAUCCAGCCAACAGGACAUGUCAUUGCUACUGAUGGAGACACAGUGACACUUGGCUGUACAUUUGAUAACAGUGACCCAGGUCCCACUUUGUUCUGGUACAAACAGGAUGGAGACAACAGCCCCAAAUUCAUACUGAGCCGCUUUAAACUGGACCAAGGGAACACACCAGACGAGUUUAAGGAGAGAUUUUCAUCCACACUGGAUUCCACCUUAAAAUCAGUUCCUCUGAAGAUCCAGAAGCUUCAGCUGUCUGACUCUGCUGUGUACUACUGUGCUCUGCGGCCCACAGUGACAGGAAACACCAAGACUCUGUACAAAAACCUUUGGAGCAAAGACAACAGAAUACUCCACAACGUCCACUAGAGGGAGUCACACACUGUUAACCUUCAGUGAUAUGUGAUGAUACAGUCUAGAAUCAUGGACACCUCCUCCACAAGUUGUUCCCUCAGUUAUAUAUACAGCCUUUAUUUAAUCAGGUCGUCUCACUGAGAUCAGACAGACCUGAGUACAGCAGGUAGAG